rnacentral:rRNA from 1 species
GGGGGCCCACGGGGGGCAGCAGUAGGGAAUUUUCGUCAAUGGGCGCAAGCCUGAACGAGCAAUGCCGCGUGAACGAGGAAGGUCUUCGGAUCGUAAAGUUCUGUUGAAGGGGAAAAAGAGCGGAGAGAGGAAAUGGUCUCCGAUUGAUAUUACCCUUCGAGGAAGUCACGGCUAACUACGUGCCAGCAGCCGCGGUAAUACGUAGGUGGCGAGCGUUAUCUGGAAUGAUUGGGCGUAAAGGGUGCGUAGGCGGUGUGCUAAGUCUGGAGUGAAAGGUACCGGCU